GCCUCCGUAGCUCAGUGGAUAGAGCAGCAGCCUUCUAAUCUGUCGGUCGCCGGUUCGAGUCCGGCCGGGGGCA
rnacentral:tRNA from 1 species